rnacentral:rRNA from 1 species
GACGAACGCUGGCGGCGCGCCUAACACAUGCAAGUCGAACGAGCGAGAGGGAGUUUACUUUCUCGAGCGAGUGGCGAACGGGUGAGUAACGCGUGAGGAACCUGCCUCAAAGAGGGGGACAACAGUUGGAAACGACUGCUAAUACCGCAUAAGCCCACGACCCGGCAUCGGGUAGAGGGAAAAGGAGCAAUCCGCUUUGAGAUGGCCUCGCGUCCGAUUAGCUAGUUGGUGAGGUAACGGCCCACCAAGGCGACGAUCGGUAGCCGGACUGAGAGGUUGAACGGCCACAUUGGGACUGAGACACGGCCCAGACUCCUACGGGAGGCAGCAGUGGGGAAUAUUGCACAAUGGGGGAAACCCUGAUGCAGCGACGCCGCGUGGAGGAAGAAGGUCUUCGGAUUGUAAACUCCUGUUGUUGAGGAAGAUAAUGACGGUACUCAACAAGGAAGUGACGGCUAACUACGUGCCAGCAGCCGCGGUAAAACGUAGGUCACAAGCGUUGUCCGGAAUUACUGGGUGUAAAGGGAGCGCAGGGCGGGAAAGCAAGUUGGAAGUGAAAUCCAUGGGCUCAACCCAUGAACUGCUUUCAAAACUGUUUUUCUUGAGUAGUGCAGAGGUAGGCGGAAUUCCCGGUGUAGCGGUGGAAUGCGUAGAUAUCGGGAGGAACACCAGUGGCGAAGGCGGCCUACUGGGCACCAACUGACGCUGAGGCUCGAAAGUGUGGGUAGCAAACAGGAUUAGAUACCCUGGUAGUCCACACUGUAAACGAUGAUUACUAGGUGUUGGAGGAUUGACCCCUUCAGUGCCGCAGUUAACACAAUAAGUAAUCCACCUGGGGAGUACGACCGCAAGGUUGAAACUCAAAGGAAUUGACGGGGGCCCGCACAAGCAGUGGAGUAUGUGGUUUAAUUCGACGCAACGCGAAGAACCUUACCAAGUCUUGACAUCCUGCGACGCACAUAGAAAUAUGUGUUUCCUUCGGGACGCAGAGACAGGUGGUGCAUGGUUGUCGUCAGCUCGUGUCGUGAGAUGUUGGGUUAAGUCCCGCAACGAGCGCAACCCUUAUGGUCAGUUACUACGCAAGAGGACUCUGGCCAGACUGCCGUUGACAAAACGGAGGAAGGUGGGGAUGACGUCAAAUCAUCAUGCCCUUUAUGACUUGGGCUACACACGUACUACAAUGGCGUUAAACAAAGAGAAGCAAGACCGCGAGGUGGAGCAAAACUCAGAAACAACGUCCCAGUUCGGACUGCAGGCUGCAACUCGCCUGCACGAAGUCGGAAUUGCUAGUAAUCGUAGAUCAGCAUGCUACGGUGAAUACGUUCCCGGGCCU